GCAGAUUAGCACAGCUGUGAAUGUUGUGAGCACGUUUGUUGCAACUGCUGGGCUCAUUAUUUUCCUUAUGGAUGAAGAGGCUUCACCCAGUUAUCAUGGCAGCAAUUUAAAUUUAGAACGGAGUUUAUUUCAAGGACUUUUAAAUGUGCUUUUGAUUUUUACCAUCCUGGAGUUCUUCACUGCGAUUAUAUCUUCAAGUUUUGGAUGUGAAACAAUAUUCAAUCAACAUGAUGAAGAAUUACACUGUGCNCCAGACGCAGUCAGAACACAUCAAGGAAUUCUUCUACCAGUAGAUCCUCCUCCAUCUUAUGAAGCUGAAGUCAACACUGGUUAUGAUACCACAACCCAGGCUGCAUAGAAAAUCCAAGAUAGGUUUCCAAAAAAACAGUUAUGCUGAAAUCAGGCCAUAGUUUUGACAAAUCAACCAUGAAACGUCUCUCUUAAAUAAAUAUGUGGACAAAUCGUGUCA
rnacentral:lncRNA from 1 species